rnacentral:rRNA from 1 species
AGUUUAUUGUUGAUUAUAAUAAAUGGUUCCUGCCCAGUGAUUAAUUUAAACGGCCGCGGUACUCUGACCGUGCAAAGGUAGCAUAAUCACUUGCCUCUUAAUUGGGGGCUGGUAUGAAUGGAAGUUCGGGAGUUAAGCUGUCUCUAGGCUAAAUGUGGAAUUUGCUGUUUCUGUGAAGAAGCAGGGGUAAUGCAAAAGGACAAGAAGACCCUAUUAAGCUUUACUUUUUGAUGUAGUUCUAAUCAUUGGUGUUGUAAGGGAUUGCAGUAAAAAAAGUUUGGUUGGGGUGACCAAAGAAGACGAAAUCUUCUUUUUUUUAUAAACAGAUUGGUUUAUAGUUGAUCCGAAAAAUUUCGAGCGAAAGAAAAAGCUACUAUAGGGAUAACAGCGUUAUUUUUUCUUAGAGUUCUAAUCGAAGAAAAAGAUUGCGACCUCGAUGUUGACUUGUCAUAUCCUGUAUUGUGGUGCAGAUGUUGCAAGGGUUGGUCUGUUCGACCAUUAAAAUGGC